GGCCCAGCAGCCCUGCAGGUGUUUGGCUGCGGCCUUUGGGGCACGGAGAUGGAUUGGAGCAGGCUGGACGGAGCUGCUGUUUGCUGACUUGGAUUGGAGCAGGCUGGACGGAGCUGCUGUUUGCUGGGGGUGUCUGCAGCCACGGAGGGCCCUGGGUCUGAUCCGGAGCUGCUGGAGCAGGACGUGGUGCAGGAGGGAGCUGGGACAGACAGACUGACCCUGCAAUGGAGCACCCAGCUGCUGCUCUGCUUCCUCUUAGCACCGACAUCAGCUCUCAGCACUGAGUGACUGUGGCUGAGAACUGAGUGUGAACGGACCCACAUUUCGGAUUGACCCCAUUGGGGACCCCCAGAUGUGGAACAGCAAACCUUGCAGACAUGGAGGAGCUGCUGCCCCCAGUGCAGCCCUGCACAGCCCAGUUCUGUGAUGCCGUGGACUCAUUUUGCAUUGGAGCUGUUGAUGAGGAAGCACCGAAUGCUUGCAGGACAUCUCCCUGUUUGCAACGUUGUUCUGCUUUGCUUGGGCAGAAGAAGCAGCUCAUGGAGCCCAGCAUCGUCCCUCAGCUGCACCUUCCUCCUCCUCCUCCUCCCCUUUGUGAUGGAUCCCACCAGCUCCCUGCAGGGCCCUUCAGCUUCUCAUCCAUCCUGAUGUGUUCCUGCUGCUGUCCCUGCCCGGGGGAUGGAGCUGCAGCCCCUGUGCCACCAUAGAGCGGGCACCAGGAGCCCCGGGUGGUGCCACAUCAGACCUGGGUGCCAUGGGUGUGGACUGGGGGGGAAACUGAAGCUGGAAGGGGUCUGUGCUGGAGCACUGCUGCAUGAGCAGGUCUCUAUAAGGGACUCCUGCAUGCAGGUCCAGCUGUUGGUGCUGUGAUGAGGGGUAGGGCCCUGCUUCUGGAUGGGUUUAAAUGGGCUGUGGGGCAGAAAUGUGGUGUCAGAUUGGAUGUACAGCCCUUGGUGGUGGCAGGGACUGAGAGCAGCACCUGAAUGGAUUCAGUACCCGGCCAGCAUCACGGCAGGGGGCUGCUGGACAAGGGAAGAGGAUCCUCGAGCUCUUUGGGAAGGCUGCUUUGAUGUGGAACCAAUGGAGCUGCAGGGACAUCCAAGGCUGCUUUGCUGUGGAACCAAUGGAGCUGCACAGGAGGGUGCUGAGUAUUGAGGGUGCUGAGCAUUGAGGGUGCUGAGUAUUGAGGGUGCUGAGCAUUGAGGGUGCUGAG
rnacentral:lncRNA from 1 species